GAGGGAGAGGGGGAAGCAGGCUUCCUGCUGAGCAGGGAGCCCAAUGCAGGGCUUGAUCCCAGAACUCUGAGAUCAUGACCUGAGCCAAGGACAGGCGCUUAACUGAGUGAGCACCCCCCUCAGUCACCCCCAAUCUGGUACCUUGUU